rnacentral:rRNA from 1 species
AACGCGAAGAACCUUACCAAAUCUUGACAUCCUUCUGACCGACUCGUAAUGGAGUCUUUCCUACGGGACAGAGGAGACAGGUGGUGCAUGGUUGUCGUCAGCUCGUGUCGUGAGAUGUUGGGUUAAGUCCCGCAACGAGCGCAACCCUUAUCCUUAGUAGCCAGCAGUUCGGCUGGGCACUCUGGGGAGACUGCCAGGGAUAACCUGGAGGAAGGUGGGGAUGACGUCAAAUCAUCAUGCCCCUUAUGAUUUGGGCUACACACGUGCUACAAUGGCGUAAACAGAGGGAAGCGAAGCCGUGAGGUGGAGCAAAUCCCAAAAAUAACGUCUCAGUUCGGAUUGUAGUCUGCAACUCGACUAUAUGAAGCUGGAGUCGCUAGUAAUCGCGAAUCAGAAUGUCGCGGUGAAUACGUUCCCGGGUCUUGUACACACCG